GUCUAUACCAUAGCAUUCUAAAUAAGCAUGACCUGCCUGAUCUCAGAAGCUAAGCAGGGUUGGGUCUAGUUAGUCCUUGGAUGGGAGAAACUGAAGCUGGGCAGCGAUGGGCU
ensembl:rRNA Gm25554 predicted gene, 25554